GUAGUGUUGUUGAUUGUACAUAAGUUGUUCAUUGCAAUUAGUUGUAGAUAUUAUUUAUUUCACUUUUAUCAUCCAUUUUAUAACCCUUUAUAAAUAGAAAUUUGCAGCAUUUGACUGUGCCUGUUAUCUGGCUUUGGUUUUGUUUUAGUAGGAUGACUGACAUUUUUUUUGCAUGCUCAUAGAUCAUACAGAGCUGGGAGACAA
rnacentral:misc_RNA from 1 species